CACGUACUCCCUCCCGUUCGGAAUUACUUGUCGCAGAAAUAGAUGUAUCUAGACAUAUUUUAGUUCUAGAUACAUCCAUAUCCAAGACAACUAAUUUCGAACGGAGAGAGUAUAAU
rfam:Triticum urartu cultivar G1812 contig1045612, whole genome shotgun sequence.